AGUUAGAUCCUGGCUCAGGAUAAACGCUGGCGGCAGGCUUUACACAUGCAAGUCGAGCGGGGUAGCAAUACCCAGCGGCAAACGAGUGAGUAAUGUGCAGGAAUGUCCCUUAAGUUUGGUAUAGCUAGCCGAAAGGUUAGGUAAUCCCAAAUGUGAACGAAAGUUUAAAGAAGCAAUUCGCUUAAGGCACAGCCUGCAUCCCAUCAGCUAGUUGGUAAGGUAAUGGCUUACCAAGGCUAAGACGGGUAGCUGGUCUGAGAGGAUGAUCAGCCACGCUGGAACUGCGACACGGUCCAGACAUCUACGGAUGGCAGCAGUGGGGAAUUUUCGGCAAUGGACGAAAGUCUGACCGAGCCAUGCCGCGUGUAGGAUGAAAGCCCUAUGGGUUGUAAACUACUGUGGUAGCUAACUAAAAAAAUGAAGUAGCUAUUAGAAAGAAGUUGCUAACUCUGUGCCAGCAGCAGCGGUAAUACAGAGACUUCAAGCGUUAUCCGGUUUCACUGGGCGUAAAGCGUUCCGAUAGGUGGAUAAGUGUGUUUAUAGUUAAAGACCGAGGCUUAACCUCGUGUAUGCUAUGAAAACUGCUUAUCUAGAAGAGCAAAGAGGUAGCUGGAACUCUACAUGUAGGGGUAAAAUCCGCUGAUAUGUAGGGGAACACCGAAAGCGAAGGCAGGCUACUGGGUGCUUCUUGACACUGCUAGGACGAAAGCGUGGGGAGAGAAUGGGAUUAGAUACCCCAGUAUUCCACGCCCUAAACGAUGAGUGCUUGCUUUUAGAUCGUUCAAUCCGAUUUAGAGGCAAAAGUUAACACUAUAAGCACUCCGCCUGUAUAGUACGGUCGCAAGACUAAAACACAAAGGAAUUGACGGGAACCCGCACAAGCAGUGGAUCAUGUGGCUUAAUUCGAUAGUAAGCGAGGAACCUCACCUAGGCUUGACAUGUUAGUGCAAGGGGUAUGAAAGUAUCCCCCUCUUCGGACUCUAACACAGGUGAUGCACGGUCGUCGUCAGCUCGUGGCGUGAGCUGUUCGGUUAAGUCCGGUAACGAGCGCAACCCUAAUACUUAGUUAUUUAAUGUCUAAGUAGACUGCAGGAGCUUAAUCCUGAGGAAGGAUAGGAUGACGUCAGAUCAGCGUGUCCUUUAUGCCUAGGGCGGCACACAUGAUACAAUGGGAAGAGUACAACAGGACAGCCAAGGAGUAAUCCGGAGCAAAUCCCCCAAAACUCCCCUCAGUACGGAUAAAAGUCUGCAACCCGACUUUUUGAAGCUGGAAUUGCUAGUAAUCGCUAAUCAGCCUCGUAGCGGUGAAUACGUUCUCGGGUUUUGUACACACUGCCCGUCAAGGUCUGGAAAUUAGAUGUGCCCCAAAACCCCUAAACAGGGUGGAAGGCAAAGCUAGUAACUGGAUUUAAGUCGUAACAAGGUAAC
rnacentral:rRNA from 1 species